AGGGCACCACCAGGAGUGGAGCCUGCGGCUUAAUUUGACUCAACACGGGAAAACUCACCCGGCCCGGACACUGGAAGGAUUGACAGAUUGAGAGCUCUUUCUUGAUUCAGUGGGUGGUGGUGCAUGGCCGUUCUUAGUUGGUGGAGUGAUUUGUCUGGUUAAUUCCGAUAACGAACGAGACUCUAGCCUACUAAAUAGAUCGUCGGCUUACAAACGCCGACGAGACUUCUUAGAGGGACAGGCGGCGAUUCAACCGCACGAAACAGAGCAAUAACAGGUCUGUGAUGCCCUUAGAUGUCCGGGGCCGCACGCGCGCUACACUGAAGUGAUCAGCGUGCUUUUGUCAACCUACUCUGUCAAGAGUGGGGAACCCAAUGAACCUUCUUCGUGAUUGGGAUAGGGGAUUGUAAUUAUUCCCCUUGAACGAGGAAUUCCCAGUAAGCGCGAGUCAUAAGCUCGCGUUGAUUACGUCCCUGCCCUUUGUACACACCGCCCGUCGCUACUACCGAUUGAAUGUUU
rnacentral:rRNA from 1 species